CCGAUCACGUUUGUUAACCACAUGAUCGUUCCACCUGAAAAUCUCGAAUAUUAACUAAAGCCUGGCAAAAUAUGAACAUAUGAACAAUUUUCUUAAAUUCUAGAUCAAAAGCAUAAUCAAUAUUGACUUGCCAAAGAACACCGCCAUAACAAAUAACGAUGUAAUAGGCGUACCAAGAUAUCCCUGAACAGCGUUGAUAUAAUUAAAGAGUUGUCCCCCCUGUGAAGAUUUAACAAGUGGAAUCCACACAAUACUCACGCCACAUAAGACAAGGACGCAAAAUCUACAAAUAAAAAUGUCGCAUCCUCCGCCAUAGAUCCAUGGUGAAUAAUGUACUGGCGCUAUUAAAGAUGGACGUCAGAGAACUCAUUAUAGCUGAUAACAUGACCGCCAUUAAUAAACCCCUUAAACCUGAAACAGUUAGUACAGUUAGUCUUGUAUUCGUCACGAAUGACAUUGGAAAUCUUCGUAUAUGUCAAUGCUAAAGGAGAAGAUAGAAAUUUAGUGACGAGAUAAACACAACCAAAUACCACAUAUGAAAAUUGUUCUAAAAGAAAAAUCUCCAGAACUUCCUCUGGAUUAGCAAAUUAGUAAACGCAAUCUGGGCACAAACAAGGGCGAUAAUAGGAGAAUUACACUUACCUACUGGUAGUAAUUCAAGUACUAAUUUCGGAUAGGCUAUAUUGGAACAACCAACAGCAUUUUCACAAAAUUUCUCACAUUCCGCCGGAUCUACACAAGCAAUAAAAUCUGAAAAAUAAGUUUAAAGGAGCUAAAUCGCUAAUAUUUGGGGCCUAGUAAUUGACACGCUUUAUAAUAAUGUAAUAUGGAUGUAUAUAAACUGAUUUACAUUCAA